rnacentral:lncRNA from 1 species
AACAAUCGGGUAAACUGGUUACCUCACCGCAACUUAUCAAUAUAGACAAUGCACUUUACGUUGGCAAAACCUACAUUGAUCGAUAUUGAUCUUGAAGGGUGCUAUUCUUUGGAAAGCAUAAAACUUAAUAUAGACUCUUUUGAGGGUUUUUAUUUAAUUAGAUCUCACCUCACCACGGCUUACAUAUAAUAACGUCACUCCAAUCAUAACAUGCAUCAACAUACAUAAUAUAAUAAAAUG